UACGUAGGGUGCGAGCGUUGUCCGGAAUUAUUGGGCGUAAAGGGCUCGUAGGCGGUUUGUCGCGUCGGGAGUGAAAACUCAGGGCUUAACCCUGAGCCUGCUUCCGAUACGGGCAGACUAGAGGUAUGCAGGGGAGAAUGGAAUUCCUGGUGUAGCGGUGAAAUGCGCAGAUAUCAGGAGGAACACCGGUGGCGAAGGCGGUUCUCUGGGCAUUACCUGACGCUGAGGAGCGGAAGUGUGGGGAGCGAACAGG
rnacentral:rRNA from 1 species